rnacentral:misc_RNA from 1 species
GAAAUGCGAUACUUGGUGUGAAUUGCAGAAUCCCGUGAACCAUCGAGUCUUUGAACGCAAAUGGCGCUCGGUUAAACAAUACCCGAGCAUGUUUGUUUCAGUGUGUACGGAAUCAUAUAUCUAAAUGCGAUUGAAUUUAAUUAUUCUCUCGUUAAACAUGAAAGCGCUGAAUUGUUCAGUGCCGAUCGAAGUAGUCACUUCUUAGCAAGUGAUCUCGAUUGUGCAUAACUGGAGAUUCACUUAAAGCGUCUUUUUAAAAUAUUUAUUAUUCUCCACUCCACACCUGAAAUCAAGCAAGAUCACCCGCUGAACUUAA